rnacentral:lncRNA from 1 species
UAGUUGUUAAUGGUGCUUUAUUUAAUGUUGGUUUUAGUAAGCAUACAAAAUAGGUCUCAUUAUGGCAUUGUCUUUUUUCUUUUUUAAAGGGAAAGAUUUAUUUAUUUAUUUCAUGUAUGUGGGUACACCGUAGCUGUCUUCAGACACACCAGAAGAGGGCAUCGGAUCCCAUUACAGAUGGUUGUGAGCCACCAUGUGUUGCUGGGAAUUUGAACUCAGGACCUCUGCAAGAGCAGUCAGUGCUCUUAACCACUGAGCCAUCUAUCACUCCAGCCCCUCAUUAUGGCAUUUGCAUAUGGGCAUCACUGAACUUUUCUCCUAUUCACUGUCUGCUCGCCCCCAAAUUGUCAGUCAACACUCCCCUGACUCAAGGAAAACAAUGUGCAUGUGAGAAAGCACGCCAAAGUUUGUUUUUCCCCACCUCCAUACAUACCUUCCCCUCUAG